UACGGAGGGGGCUAGCGUUGUUCGGAAUUACUGGGCGUAAAGCGCACGUAGGCGGCUUUGUAAGUCAGGGGUGAAAUCCCGGAGCUCAACUCCGGAACUGCCUUUGAUACUGGCGACCUUGAGGCUGGAAGAGGUUAGUGGAAUUCCCAGUGUAGAGGUGAAAUUCGUAGAUAUUGGGAAGAACACCAGUGGCGAAGGCGGCUAACUGGUCCAGAUCUGACGCUGAGGUGCGAAAGCGUGGGGAGCAAACAGG
rnacentral:rRNA from 1 species